rnacentral:rRNA from 1 species
AGAGUUUGAUCAUGGCUCAGAUUGAACGCUGGCGGCAUGCCUUACACAUGCAAGUCGAACGGCAGCAUGAUCUAGCUUGCUAGAUUGAUGGCGAGUGGCGAACGGGUGAGUAAUACAUCGGAACGUGCCCUGUAGUGGGGGAUAACUAGUCGAAAGAUUAGCUAAUACCGCAUACGACCUGAGGGUGAAAGUGGGGGACCGCAAGGCCUCAUGCUAUAGGAGCGGCCGAUGUCUGAUUAGCUAGUUGGUGAGGUAAAGGCUCACCAAGGCGACGAUCAGUAGCUGGUCUGAGAGGACGAUCAGCCACACUGGGACUGAGACACGGCCCAGACUCCUACGGGAGGCAGCAGUGGGGAAUUUUGGACAAUGGGCGAAAGCCUGAUCCAGCAAUGGCCGCGUGUGUGAAGAAGGCCUUCGGGUUGUAAAGCACUUUUGUCCGGAAAGAAAUGGCUCUGGUUAAUACCUGGGGUCGAUGACGGUACCGGAAGAAUAAGGACCGGCUAACUACGUGCCAGCAGCCGCGGUAAUACGUAGGGUCCAAGCGUUAAUCGGAAUUACUGGGCGUAAAGCGUGCGCAGGCGGUUGUGCAAGACCGAUGUGAAAUCCCCGAGCUUAACUUGGGAAUUGCAUUGGUGACUGCACGGCUAGAGUGUGUCAGAGGGGGGUAGAAUUCCACGUGUAGCAGUGAAAUGCGUAGAGAUGUGGAGGAAUACCGAUGGCGAAGGCAGCCCCCUGGGAUAACACUGACGCUCAUGCACGAAAGCGUGGGGAGCAAACAGGAUUAGAUACCCUGGUAGUCCACGCCCUAAACGAUG